rnacentral:rRNA from 1 species
UACGGGGGGGGCAAGCGGUUGUUCGGAAUUACUGGGCGUAAAGGGUUUGUAGGUGGCCGGCUAAGUCAGACGUGAAAUCCCUCAGCUUAACUGGGGAACUGCGUCUGAAACUGAUCGGCUCGAGUGCAGGAGAGGAACGCGGAAUUCCAGGUGUAGCGGUGAAAUGCGUAGAUAUCUGGAGGAACACCGGUGGCGAAGGCGGCGUUCUGGACUGCAACUGACACUGUAAAACGAAAGCCAGGGGAGCAAACGGG